rfam:Brachypodium distachyon strain Bd21 chromosome 3, whole genome shotgun sequence.
UUAGUACUCCCUCCGUCCAACAAAAGAUGUCUCAAGUUUGUCAAAAUUUGGAUGUAUCUAGACAUGACUUAAUGUAUAAAUGCAUUCAAAUUUAGUCAAAGUUGAGACAUCCUUUGUUGGACGGAAAGAAUACUGU